rnacentral:rRNA from 1 species
CCUACGGGAGGCAGCAGUAGGGAAUUUUCCACAAUGGGCGAAAGCCUGAUGGAGCAAUACCGCGUGCAGGAUGAAGGCCUUCGGGUCGUAAACUGCUUUUAUGUGCGAAGAAUUUGACGGUAACACAUGAAUAAGGAUCGGCUAACUACGUGCCAGCAGCCGCGGUCAUACGUAGGAUCCAAGCGUUAUCCGGAAUUACUGGGCGUAAAGAGUUGCGUAGGUGGCAUUAUAAGUGGAGCGUGAAAGCGUGCGGCUCAACCGCAUUAUUGCGUUCCAAACUGUGAAGCUUGAGUAUGGGAGAGGUAGAUGGAAUUUCUAGUGUAGGAGUGAAAUCCGUAGAUAUUAGAAGGAACACCGAUGGCGUAGGCAGUCUACUGGCCCAUUACUGACACUAAGGCACGAAAGCGUGGGGAGCAAACGGGAUUAGAUACCCCGGUAGUCCACGCUGUAAACCUAUGGAUGCUAGCUGUGACACACACUACGACCUGUGUCGUAGACGAGUAACGUACGUAGUACGACNCCGCCGCGGGAGGUACGGUCGCGAGUAAGUUAAACGUUAAAUUAGUUAGUUAGUUACGGCGUGNGACGUUGCCGACGGACGACGACGAGGGAGGAGG